AUUGAACGCUGGCGGCGGGCCUAACACAUGCAAGUCGAACGAGAAGAGGAGGGGUGGAUAGUGUCUGAGAAACUGGCUGAUGGAGGGGGCUAACGGGUGGAAACGGUAGCUAAUAGCGCAUACGGUCAGAUGUGCCCAGAUGGGAGUAGCGAGUCGGGGGGGUAACGGCUAACCAAGGCGACGAGCCCUAGCUGGCCUGAGAGGAUGACCGGCCACACUGGAACUGAGACACGGCCCAGACUCCUACGUGAGGCAGCAGUGGGGAAUUUUCCGCAAUGGGCGCAAGUCUGACACAGCCACGCCGCGUGUAUGAAGAAGGCUUUCGGGUUGUAAAGUACUUUCAUCGGGGAGGCGUUACCCGCCCAAGAAGCCCCGGCUAACUCCGUGCCAGCCGCCGCGGUAAUUC
rnacentral:rRNA from 1 species